ensembl:lncRNA
AAAAAUCUGGAUUUGUGCAGAAAGUGCUUAGCCAAGCCCCACACUUCACUUGAAGAGGUCCUCAAAUGAGAGGCUGCUCAGGUGCAGCUGUAUACUUUGCAGUAAAUACGGAAAGGAAUCCCACCUCUCCACUACCUUACUGCAAUUAAAAGGCAGGUUGCUGUUGAUUCUUCCACUUUUUAGGGCCAUGAAUCACGUUUGAAAAAUACUGCUGAAAUUCGAAUACAUCAAAGAUGAAAUCAAAAACCUCCAAAAGCCUUGGGAAAUGGACUUGUCUGAACAAACAAUGGAUUGGUCUUCAAAAGCAAUUACCAGGUAAAAGAUGUCACAAACAAAUGCUCCAAAAGGGCUCUUCACAACCCACAGGAUCCCUCCAGGAACACCCACAACGUGGUGAGCAGCUGGGCUACCACAGGCAGCAUGCAAACCGGCAGGAAGCAACAAUAGCUCUGAAGCCAAGGAGAAAAGAAAAGCUACAGAACCCAGAUCUGUUUUUUCUUCAAAAUUUCAUAGUCAUUGUAUUUUCAAUCUACAGAGAGUACAAAUUUAUUCCAAAAAAUGGUGUUGUCUGUCCUCACUCUGACCUUACACCAUGGCAGGAAAUAUUUCCCAGCUCCUGAAGAAACUCAGAGCUCUAGAAAACUGCCCUGAGAGCAGCUGCAAACCAAUAUGGUAAUUUCCAGAACAGAAAAGAACCUUUUCUGUCAGUUUCACCCAAGCCUACACUAGACUCAAGGCACUCUUCAAAAGAGCAGAAUGCAGACUCCAGAAAAACUAAAGGUUAUAUUUCUUACUGGAGGGAAAACAAAGAGAAUAUCAUAAAAGCACAUGAAGAGGAAGACUUUGUACAUACACAUACAUAUGCAUAUAUAUAAAUGUGUUUGUACAUACAUAGACGCAACUCAAACAUCUUUUGAAACAUCCUAAGGCACAUUUUAAGUAUUUGUAAGUAUCCGUAUAAGUAUUUUCAUUAAUAGCUGACUGGACUCCUCAGUUUUGCUAAAGCAGAUAUGUGCAGUGUUUCAGGACAUGCCAGAUACACAACUCAGAUCAUAAAAUUGUUCAAAGGUACUUUUUUACAGCAGAUAUUGUUCAGUCCCAGACCCAUUUUAUACAGAUUUUUUCAUCCUUACAUUUAAAAUAUCUUCUCCUAUUUGCAAUUUGACUAUCUUAAGGUUCUUGGACUGUCUCCCUGUCUGCACCUGUGUCUGAAAGGAAGUACAGGAGAGGUAACAGAGGUUCUUCUUUCAAACGUAGUCCAGAUUUUUCAAAAUAUAUCAUUCCUGAGUGGCUGAUGGGAUUAUGCAAUAACUAGAAAACCUGAUUCUGGAAGUUUCUGAUCUCUUCCAAACAAUCUCUAUGCAUAUAUUCAGAACCAAAUCAGAAAUCAAUGGAC